rnacentral:rRNA from 1 species
AGGUGCUGCACGGCUGUCGUCAGCUCGUGUCGUGAGAUGUUGGGUUAAGUCCCGCAACGAGCGCAACCCUCGUCACUAGUUACUAACGGUUCGGCCGAGGACUCUAGUGAGACUGCCUUCGUAAGGAGGAGGAAGGUGAGGACGACGUCAAGUCAUCAUGGCCCUUACGGCUAGGGCAACACACGUGCUACAAUGGCCAGGACAGUGAGAAGCGAUACCGCGAGGUGGAGCAAAUCUAUAAACCUGGUCUCAGUUCGGAUUGUAGUCUGCAACUCGACUACAUGAAGCUGGAAUCACUAGUAAUCGUAGAUCAGCUAUGCUACGGUGAAUACGUUCCCGGGUCUUGUACUCACCGCCCGUCACACCAUGGGAGUUGAUUUCACCCGAAGCGGGGAAGCUAAACUGGCUACCCUCCACGGUGGAAUCAGCGACUGGGGUGAAGUCGUAACAAGGUA